GGUUCAUUCAAAUUUCUUCCCUAUCAACUUUCGAUGCGAGGGUAUUGUCCUCGCAUGGUUACAACGGGUAACGGAGGGUUAGGGCUCGACCCCGGAGAAGGAGCCUGAGAAACGGCUACUACAUCUAAGGAAGGCAGCAGGCGCGCAAAUUACCCAAUCCCGACCGGGGAGGUAGUGACAAUAAAUACUGAUACAGGGCUCCUUUGGGUCUUGUAAUCGGAAUGAGUACAAUUUAAAUCUCUUAACGAGUAACAAUUGGAGGGCAAGUCUGGUGCCAGCAGCCGCGGUAAUUCCAGCUCCAAUAGCGUAUAUUAAAGUUGUUGUGGUUAAAAAGCUCGUAGUUG
rnacentral:rRNA from 1 species